rnacentral:rRNA from 1 species
AGAGUUUGAUCAUGGCUCAGGAUGAACGCUGGCGGCGUGCUUAACACAUGCAAGUCGAACGGAAAGGCCUUGUGCUUGCACAAGGUACUCGAGUGGCGAACGGGUGAGUAACACGUGGGUGAUCUGCCCUGCACUGUGGGAUAAGCCUGGGAAACUGGGUCUAAUACCAUAUAGGACCGCAUCUUGGAUGGUGUGGUGGAAAGCUUUUGCGGUGUGGGAUGAGCCUGCGGCCUAUCAGCUUGUUGGUGGGGUAAUGGCCUACCAAGGCGGCGACGGGUAUCCGGCCUGAGAGGGUGUACGGACACAUUGGGACUGAGAUACGGCCCAGACUCCUACGGGAGGCAGCAGUGGGGAAUAUUGCACAAUGGGCGCAAGCCUGAUGCAGCGACGCCGCGUGGGGGAUGAAGGCCUUCGGGUUGUAAACUCCUUUCGCUAUCGACGAAGCCACUUGUGGUGACGGUAGGUAGAUAAGAAGCACCGGCUAACUACGUGCCAGCAGCCGCGGUAAUACGUAGGGUGCAAGCGUUGUCCGGAAUUACUGGGCGUAAAGAGCUCGUAGGUGGUUUGUCGCGUCGUCUGUGAAAUCCCGGGGCUUAACUUCGGGCGUGCAGGCGAUACGGGCAUAACUUGAGUGCUGUAGGGGAGACUGGAAUUCCUGGUGUAGCGGUGAAAUGCGCAGAUAUCAGGAGGAACACCAAUGGCGAAGGCAGGUCUCUGGGCAGUUACUGACGCUGAGGAGCGAAAGCAUGGGUAGCGAACAGGAUUAGAUACCCUGGUAGUCCAUGCCGUAAACGGUGGGCGCUAGGUGUAGGGGGCUUCCACGUCUUCUGUGCCGUAGCU